rnacentral:rRNA from 1 species
GUCUAUUUGGGUUUAUAUAUAGUCUGGCCUGCUCACUGACAUAGGAUUGUUUAAGAGCCGCGGUAUUUUGACCGUGCAAAGGUAGCAUAAUCAUUAGCUUUUUGAUUGAAAGCUUGUAUGAAUGGUCGGACAAAGGAAAAGCUGUCUUUACUGUAAAAUUAGAAAUUAACCUCUAAGUGAAAAGGCUUAGAUUCUUUAGGGGGACGAUAAGACCCUAUAAAGCUUUACAUAUAAGUAGAGUUUACUUAAUUAAAAAGUAAAAGUUUAAUCUAAUUAAUGUGUUUUGUUGGGGCGACAUAAAUAUAAUUUAUAUUAACUGUUUAUAAAUUAAUACAAUAAUAAAUGAUUUUAAUGUAGUUGAUCCUUAUUAAAGAUUAAAAGACUAAGUUACUUUAGGGAUAACAGCGUUAUUUCUUUUGAGAGCUCCUAUCGAAAAAGAAGUUUGCGACCUCGAUGUUGAAUUAAAAUAUCUAAAUAAUGCAGCAGUUAUUUAAGAAGGUCUGGUCGACCUUUAAAUUUUU